GGGGGCGACUUGGUUUCGACGGGAUUGUUGAAGCCCGGGUUGCGCGCCGAGGAAGUCUGGUUGGCCUCGUUAAUCAUCCGGACAAAACACACAAACGCCAACGAUAACUUGGCUCUCGC
rnacentral:tmRNA from 1 species